GGGUAUAUGGCUCAGUGGUAGAGUGCAUGCUUAGCAUGCACGAGGUCCUGGUUUCAAAUCCCAAUACCUCCA
rnacentral:tRNA from 1 species